rnacentral:rRNA from 1 species
UACGUAGGCAGCAAGCGUUGUUCGGAGUUACUGGGCGUAAAGGGUGUGUAGGCGGUCUUCUAAGUUUGGUGUGAAAUCUCCCGGCUCAACUGGGAGGGUGCGCCGAAAACUGGGAGGCUAGAGUACUGGAUGGGAGAGUGGAAUUCCUAGUGUAGCGGUGAAAUGCGUAGAUAUCAGGAGGAACACCGGUGGUGUAGACGGCUCUCUGGACAGUAACUGACGCUGAGACACGAAAGCGUGGGUAGCAAACAGG